AACGGGUGCGUAACACGUGAGCAACCUACCGAAAUGAGGGGGGAUAGCCGUCCCAACGGACGGGUAAUACCGCAUACGCUCUUGUCCAGGCAUUUGGAUAAGAGGAAACCUCCGGGGCAUUUCGAGGGGCUCGCGGCCUAUCAGCUAGUUGGUGAGGUAACGGCUCACCAAGGCGACGACGGGUAGCUGGUCUGAGAGGAUGGCCAGCCACAUUGGGACUGAGAUACGGCCCAG
rnacentral:rRNA from 1 species